ACCGGGAGAGCUCGGGCGCAGGGCUCGCAGCACCCGGGACAGUGCGAGGGGUCCCUGCCGUGGCAGGGGCGAGCCAUGGAAAUAAUUGGGAUUUAAAAUCCACUUAAGGUCCAUUCCAAGCCUGGUUUCCUGGGAUUCUGUGCUGUUGUGGGGCCGAGGUUUGCAGCCCGGUGAACAAAGGCUGUGCAGCCCCAGCUGAGACAGGAGCCAUUGUCCAGGGGCUGCUAAAGGCACGGUGGGACAAACAGACUCUCACAAGGCAAAUCCAUUCGCCGGUUGGUGAAGAACUCCUCCCUGGGCAAACAAGCGAUGCCCAGAGGCACGGACUGAGCCGUGCCCUCCCAGCAGGGCACCCAAAGCGCUGCAGGUUGGGCUGAUCCAGCCCUGCGCAGGAAUGGCGCUCUGUCCCCCUGUCCUGCUCUCCCUCCGUUCUCCUCGGCAGGUCAGGGCUUUUCCCGAGGCUCUUUUCCUGCCAGGCUGCAUCAGAUGAGCAGUGGCAGCUUUGGAGUGGGAUGGAGCCCCUGGAACCACUCCUGGGUAACUGGGUUUGUGGAAAAUCCCUAAUCCGCCAACAGAGCACAACUGAGGCAGCGGCAGAUGUAGGAGGGCAACAACACCUAGAGACAAAAGGGACUUCCGGCUGGAGAACUUCCUGGGGAGUAGCCCUGCCCCUGGAAAAUAACAACACCUAGAGACAAAGAAACCAGAAAAGGCAAGAAGGUUAAAAACAAAAUCAAAAAAACAAUACAAACAUUGUAUU